GCAGAUUCAUAUUGAGUCUGUGAUCUACUGGGACUCCCGCAUCCUUCUCCAUAAUGCUGCCAUCUUGCCAGGUGUCACCCAUUUUGUAUUUGUGUUUUUUAUUAUUCUUUCUGAGGUGUAGCACCUUUCACUUGUCAGCACUGAACGUCAUCCUUUUAGCUUCAGCCCAGCUUUCAAAUCUAUCAAGUUUGACACAUGGCAA